rnacentral:rRNA from 1 species
GGGUUGUGAGGUUAAGCGACUAAGCGUACACGGUGGAUGCCCUGGCAGUCAGAGGCGAUGAAGGGCGUGCUAAUCUGCGAUAAGCGCCGGUAAGGUGAUAUGAACCGUUAUAACCGGCGAUACCCGAAUGGGGAAACCCAGUGUGACUCGUCACACUAUCAUUAACUGAAUCCAUAGGUUAAUGAGGCGAACCGGGGGAACUGAAACAUCUAAGUACCCCGAGGAAAAGAAAUCAACCGAGAUUCCCCCAGUAGCGGCGAGCGAACGGGGAGGAGCCCAGAGCCUGAAUCAGCAUGUGUGUUAGUGGAAGCGUCUGGAAAGUCGCGCGAUACAGGGUGACAGCCCCGUACACAAAAGCGCAUGUGUUGUGAGCUCGAUGAGUAGGGCGGGACACGUGGUAUCCUGUCUGAAUAUGGGGGGACCAUCCUCCAAGGCUAAAUACUCCUGACUGACCGAUAGUGAACCAGUACCGUGAGGGAAAGGCGAAAAGAACCCCGGCGAGGGGAGUGAAAAAGAACCUGAAACCGUGUACGUACAAGCAGUGGGAGCCCCACCACCAAAGCAUUCUCUGGUGUUGAAGGCCCUGCAAAGCAGCAUCGCGGUGGCGGAGCGUCGUUUGCGACGCCCAACACAAAAAACAAGCGGUGAGUGCUUUGGGGUGGGGUGACUGCGUACCUUUUGUAUAAUGGGUCAGCGACUUAUAUUCUGUAGCAAGGUUAACCGAAUAGGGGAGCCGGAGGGAAACCGAGUCUUAACCGGGCGUUAAGUUGCAGGGUAUAGACCCGAAACCCGGUGAUCUAGCCAUGGGCAGGUUGAAGGUUGGGUAACACUAACUGGAGGACCGAACCGACUAAUGUUGAAAAAUUAGCGGAUGACCUGUGGCUGGGGGUGAAAGGCCAAUCAAACCGGGAGAUAGCUGGUUCUCCCCGAAAGCUAUUUAGGUAGCGCCUCGUGAAUUCAUCUCCGGGGGUAGAGCACUGUUUCGGCUAGGGGGCCAUCCCGGCUUACCAACCCGAUGCAAACUGCGAAUACCGGAGAAUGUUAUCACGGGAGACACACGGCGGGUGCUAACGUCCGUCGUGAAGAGGGAAACAACCCAGACCGCCAGCUAAGGUCCCAAAGUCAUGGUUAAGUGGGAAACGAUGUGGGAAGGCCCAGACAGCCAGGAUGUUGGCUUAGAAGCAGCCAUCAUUUAAAGAAAGCGUAAUAGCUCACUGGUCGAGUCGGCCUGCGCGGAAGAUGUAACGGGGCUAAACCAUGCACCGAAGCUGCGGCAGCGACGCUGAUGCGUUGUUGGGUAGGGGAGCGUUCUGUAAGCCUGCGAAGGUGGCCUGUGAGGGUUGCUGGAGGUAUCAGAAGUGCGAAUGCUGACAUAAGUAACGAUAAAGCGGGUGAAAAGCCCGCUCGCCGGAAGACCAAGGGUUCCUGUCCAACGUUAAUCGGGGCAGG